rnacentral:rRNA from 1 species
CGUAGGCAGCGAGCGUUGUUCGGAGUUACUGGGCGUAAAGGGUGUGUAGGCGGUUGUUUAAGUUUGGUGUGAAAUCUCCCGGCUCAACUGGGAGGGUGCGCCGAAUACUGAAUGACUUGGAGUGCGGGAGAGGUGAGUGGAGUUCCUGGUGUAGCGGUGAAAUGCGUAGAUAUCAGGAGGAACACCGGUGGUGUAGACGGCUCACUGGACCGUAACUGACGCUGAGACACGAAAGCGUGGGUAGCAAACAGGAUUAGAUACCCUGGUAGUCCACGCCCUAAACGAUGCAUAUUUGGUGUGGGCAGUUCAUUCUGUCCGUGCCGGAGCUAACGCGUUAAAUAUGCCGCCUGGGGAGUACAGUCGCAAGGCUG